CUAUAUCAAUGACUUAAUACAAUCCCAUCAGUACUGUAAAUUGUCUGUGUACAUUUUGUUUGUUGCACUCACACUAUUUGUUUUCCUAAAUUAUCUGAGCAGUCAUGGGAGAGGACGAGAGCCACGUCCAGAUGAUCACAGUGUGUCACACAUCCCACUAUCCCUGCUGCAUCCUGACCUGCCCUGGCGAUGCCUGGACCCUCAGCCUUGGCCUUCGAGGCGUCGUGAGACGGCUCCACUUUCACCCGGAAAGGACUGACUGGGAUCUCCUAAAGGAUGAAGCACAUGAAGUCCAUUAUUACAUUUGUGGAACAGAGCAACGAGUCUACUUGUUAAGGUUAGUUUAAUAAAUCAAAAUGCAUGCUCAUUUAGGAGGUCAUAGGAGACUAUAAUAUAGUACUCUUAAUCUGUAGCAAAGCCUGAUAUUCUUCUGUAGAUUACACACAUAACCCAAAAUGACCACACAUAACCUGAACUAGUUAUAUAUAUAAUUCCCUUUUAGAAUGUUCUACUGCCCCUCACACCAUAGAUGUGUACUUCCCACUGCGUGAGACAUUAGCUUCCCACCUGUUCAGCGAAGAGCACUUUGAUGGUGAGCCGACCAGCUGCGGGGGGCACGUAUUUGACGGUGAUCGUGUCGUUGGCGUUAGGAAUGAUGUCAAAGUCAAGGUCCUCCUCUUUGUCGCUGAUCAUGUCAGCAUCACAUUUGAUGCCCACACUCACAUCUCCUGCAGAGGAAGGGUUAGGGUUAGAAUGGCUAACUCAUGAUACAGUACUCUUUAAAUCAGGUUUAGAAUGGCUAGCUCAUGAUACAGUACUCUUUAAAUCAGAUUUAGAUGGCUAACUCAUGAUACAGUACUCUAAAUCAGAUUUAGAAUGGCUAGCUCAUGAUACAGUACUCUUUAAAUCAGGUUUAGAGAGGCUAGCUCUAAUACAGUACUCUUUAAAUCAGGUUUAGAAUGGCUAACUCAUAAUACAGUACUCUUUAAAUCAGAUUUGACACAAAUAAUGUUGGUAACAGAAAUACAGAUUUGCUUAGGUGUGUAUGGCUGUACCUUCUCCUGCCUCCGUGCAGUCCACGUGAAGUGAGUGGGUUCACUGGCCUUGAGUCCGGUCCGCUCCACUCCUGGGCCGUACACCUUCACUUUAUGGGGAUGACUGCCCUUCCCCACGGUCACCUGGAAAUGAAAAUAAAAAAAAACCACACACCUCUGAAGUGUCAGUCUUCACACACACACAGCUCCAUUUCUACUCCAUUAUGCUCCUGAGCAACUCAUUUCAUUCAUGUUGAUUGACAGCUAGCGGUCCAACACUAUUUCAAGAGCCCAAGAACCCAUGCAUGAAUGAGUAAACGAUGAAAUAAAUCACUAUUGCCUAAAAGUGCAAUAUAUAUAGUCAAACAUGUCAAUCCUAUAAAUGAUCCUAUACUUUCAAACAAUACAAUUCUAAAAGACAUGCUGAAAAGAUGACAUUUCCCAGUAGUUAUGUGUAGUAUAUAAUGCAUUCUGUCUCAAUUUCCGUCCAGGAAUUCUAUUGAAUCCACAGGAAUAGGGGCAACUUCAUCUUUUCAGCGUUGUUUCAGAAUUGUAUUGUUUUGACAUAACCGAUAUAUUGCACAUUUAAAGAUGUGUUAGUUGCCAAAAAAGCAUGCUACACAAAUGUUGUCAACGGUAAGAAAAGAAGUGAGCACCAUGAGAUCAGGAUUGUGGCCAACGACACUACAUGAUACAUUGACGUGGUGGGGAAAGCUUUACAAAGAGCCGCCAAUUAUAAAGCAGCAAAAACAAAACACAUCUUUAAAGAUCUGAUUCCAGGGUCUUACAGAGUUUACACAGAAACAGAUAGAAUUCCACUGGACAUUCGACCAACAGAUAAAUCAAACAAUCACCCCAAAUUUACAGGCAAUGCCACAUGCUUGAACACAAGAAUAACCUGAAAAUAAUUACGAUUUAAUCUGAGCAAAAUAAAAAGAGGUUUACAAAUACAUUUGCCUUAAAUUGAUUUAAAAUGUGCCAACAUUAAUGUAGAAACACUACAUCGUGUUUAAUAUUGAACACCAAAGACGUCUUCCUCAGUUCACAUUGAUGUCGUCCUUGGUUCCCUCUGGUCAACAGAUGAGGCUUCAGAUGCUCAUUGGUUGGAUGCCAUGAGUGAAGAUCACACACACACAUUGGCUGGAGGUCAUGUCAAGUUUGACAUUCUUCUCCCCAGGUCAUUACAAAAUUCACUUUAUAAUUAUAAAAAUCUGUCAAGUAUAAUAAUACUAAUUAUUAUAAAUUACAAAUUAAAGGCAUCAAGUGAUGGAAUCACACUUCAAAUUUAUUAUGCUUAAACAUAGCGAGGUACACAUUAGGUUCGUAUCAUUAACAAACUGAAAUGAAAUGCUUAAAUGAAAUAUAUAGGAAUAAUGAAAACAAAAUUACAAUUAAAUAUCAAUGAAAUGAUCAGUCCAAUCCAAAUAAAAGUCUGAAAUAGCCAUCUUGUUCUUAUGCUCAGGAACACAAUGAAAUCACAUUAUUAAAUAACCUUUUUCAUGAUUCUAAUUAACAGUAAUGUAGAGCAUGAUAAGUGACAUACACCAGACAAACUUAAUACCAACCACAGAAGGGCAUACUGCAGCAUAUUAGUAGCGUACUUUAGCAUACUGCAGCAUAUUAGUAGCGUACUUUAGCAUACUGCAGCAUAUUAGUAGCGUACUUUAGCAUACUGCAGCAUAUUAGUACUGUACUUUGGCAUACUACAGCAAAUUAGUAGUGCACUUUGGCAUACUGCAGCAUAUUAGUAGUGUACUUUGCAGACAGAAGUGAUAUGACGCGAGGCUGUGUAAGUGGUCAUGAUGAUUAGAGGUCUGGUCUUGGGCUGCUGCCCCUGAGGAUGGUCCACGGUGUCUAAAAACACGCUGUACUGUGAUCGGCUCCUUCUAAGUGGGCUGUGGUCUCUGCGAGUAACGCUCUUGAGAAAGCGCUCGGAGAGCGAAGGCUCUACAGUCGGGCGGACUUGGUUAAACCGUUUAGCAUUGGUACCUUCCGACUGCACUGAGUCUACAGCGAGCUCAUUGGCAGAGCCGUGUUUGAGGUAGAGCGGAGGAAGCUGUGCUGACUGCACUGAGAGGUUAGUGGAGGAGGAGGAGGAUGAUAUCUUAGCACCACGCGGCUCAGGCGUGGGGGAGCUUACCCUGAAGGGGCUGUUGGGCACACUGACCCCUCCCCACCAGAUAGACACUGUGUGUUUGACAGCCUCUGUGGGAGUGUACAAGCAGGUAUACACUCCAUCCCCUUUGCUCUUGGUCUUCACGUCUAGUGGAACUCCACCAGCCAUCUUGGGGACGGGAAGCACAAAGAACAGAGAAUGGGAAUAGCAUCACUUGACUUUUAGUACGCCAAGCAUCAGAUACUGGUGAAUCACAACUAACCAAAACAUCAUGACUUAUUACUCAAACAGUUCAUGAAAUUCAUACCCACAUUUAGCAAACAAAGUGCCUGUAAGCUGACUGAAUUGAGAAAAAGUGCCUGUAAGCUGACUGAAUUGAAACAAAGUGCCGUGUUGGUCUAUUGAGUCUUGGUGAAGUGAACACUACCUGUGCAACAAUCUUCAGAGGACCUUUCCCUGCAUCCUUUGCAUUGACAGUGAACUCAGCUGGCUUGUUGAUGACACAGCCCGUCUUCUCUAGGCCAGCUCCAUAAGCCUUGACCUGAAACAAACACAAACAUAUAAACCGGCUCCAUCUGAAUAGCACAAAAUACAAUACUGUCUGCAGCCUACUUCCUAAUACAUUUCCAUAUUCUCUGACAACUGACGGAUCAGUAAAUAAAUGGCAGAACAUUUAAAUGACUCAAAUGGUAGAACAAGGUGGUAAAACAAGUAAGCACUAGCAUUAAAAAGUGCUCAGUGGAUGAAAACAUACAUAGCUCAGGGUAUUGUGAAGCUAUAUUUUCAGUAUUCCAUAUAGGAAGGUUUGCAUCCAGCAAUUUUGGCAGAACUACCUUUACACAUCAAAAGGUAUGUGGAAAAGGGAGGCGGCUACAUUGGGAUAUCCUAUUGAAAAAGCGUAGGCAGGGAUGGCGCUCACCAGGUCAACAUUGUUGGAUUUGUUGUCAGGGAUGAUGUACGCCAUGAAUGGACUGUCUUCAAUGUCUUCAUCAUCACACAUGACGUGAACGGCAUACUCUCCCGGCUCUGUUGGCCAGUACUUCACAUCGCACGAGCCGUCAUUCUGGUCCUCGCACUCAAUCUUAGCCUGAGAAGGCCCCUCAAUGGCGAAGCCUAAAACGGAGAGCGGAAAAGCACAAGAGACAGAGUGUGAGCUCAAGCAAAUGAGACAAUGAUCUAAAUCAACAUUCAACACAAACUAAGAGGAUUGAAAAACAUUCCAGAAAUUUUCCCUAAUUGCUGAAGAUUUUUUUGGAUGAUAGUGACCCAUUUUCAGAAUUUGUGAGAGUUUUCCACCUAAUGAAGUCCUGUUGUCAAUGAAACACACAGGAUGACAGGGUCAUCACAUAAUCCAUACCAAAUAAGGAGUUCGAACAGUUAAUGGCAUUAGAAAUGCAGAUACGAGCAGAAACCAAAAAUUACCCAGCACUCCCACAUCUGUGCCGAUGGAUUCUGCCACAAAGUCAGCAGGCUUGCCCACCACGCCCCCCUCCAGUCCUGGACCCCAGGCUCGGAUCUUCUGCGGCCCGGCCUCGGUUCCCACCUGGACCUCAAAAGGACUGCCAAAGAACAAAUUAAAUAGCAAAGUCUGAUCGCAAAGAAAACACCGUAUUUAUUAAAACAGCAUGACAAUAACCGCCGUUCGAUAACUCAAAUGAUCUUCCUGGUUAAAAACUAGCUUCGUUCGAGAAUUUGUGCAAGUGUCAAUACAAUGUGUUGCUAGGGCCUUUCAUCUGAAGAGGAAAAUAACUUCAUGUCAGCAGACCACCAGGUGCAAUCUAAGACAAAUAUUGGCUCAAUUCCAAAUCACUUUCUAUGUCUGAAAAAGUGUGAACAGGAAAGUGAUAAAAACACAAGUUACUGGGCGUGGGGUGAAAGAGUAUGCCUCUGUAUGAAUGGCAGUUUGGGAACGCAGGGAAUGGAAAUGGUUGGGAGCUGAACUGAGGUGUGGUGGUGUUGUGGUGGUGGUGUUGUUGUGGUGGUGUUUGCCAUGGGAAUGCUGAGGAUAAGAACAGGGGUGUGUCUGGCUAAAGGCGGGUGUGGCAGGAACAGAAUAAACAUGCUGAAAUGCCUCACAGAGAGCUGUUGCCAGAUCAGCACAAUCACAGCCUCUGCUGCUGUGCUUUCAAGCAGUGAUGUGUGAAGUCACCUAUGCACCACACACACACACACACACACACACACACACACACACACACACACACACACACACACACACACACACACACACACACACACACACACGCGCCCUCUCAGAAAGAACGAUGCCUUGUUAUCUUCAAACCUUUAGAUCAAACUCUUGGAUAAGGAAAUAUGCCUUCAUGCCUGGUGAUCACUGGGUAGUAGACUCCCUGGCUCCCCAACCCUCACCACCAGGAGAAGAGACCCAAAGCUCAGACCCAGAUCAGAAACAUUAUUCCAUUUCCUCCUGGCAUCACCAACAGAUUGCCUCCCCCAAAACCCAAAACUCAAACUAAACCGACCAACAGAGCUAUUAGCAGGGCUCUGCAAUUGGCCAUUAAACAGAGGUGUCUGCCCUGCGUCUGCCUCCUCACUCACUAGGUGCAGCAGUAGCAGUGUGCUGGUGGAAACGUGUAGGCGCCGUUAAACUGUUUCCUGUGCUGUGGAUGGAACACACUCUGUGUGCCUGUGUGCCAGGAUCCCCUGUGGCAGUGCGUCCAAAGCUCAACAUGAACAUGAGCUCAUUCCCCGUCCUGCCCUGGUUUCUGCUCUCUGCGUUCAGUUCCUCUGCCUGCCAAAGCCUUUCAUUCAGCCUCAACACAUUCUCUCAGUGAUGUCAAAGGGAUACUAACACCAGUUACUAUUAACCUUUUCAAACUCCGUGGCACUCUGUCUAAGCUUCCAUUAGAGCAAUUUCAUGUUGAAAUAGGAGCAUCUGGUGCUUGUUGAGGGAACUUGCUGAGGCAACAGCUUAAAUAUGCAUUUUGAAACACUUGCAAAUGUCUGGCUUCCCAGCAAACAGAAUAAAAAAAGUGAGUAACAAGAGUCAUUUGAAGCAUCUGUGACUGGGAUUGUAUCAUGCAUGUGUGUGUGCUGUUCUUCUGAAGCACUCACCUCUUGGGAAUAUGCAUUCCUCCCCAUGUGAUGGUCACUACAUACUUCCCAGGCGUGAGUGGGUAGUACUCAAAGGCAUUCACGCCAUCCAGUGAUUCCUUCUGCUUCACCAGCUCAUCUUGACCCUCUGAUAGAAGAGGGUAAAAAAAAGGAAUAAAUAAAUAAAUAAAUAAAUAAAAUUAAAAACCCACAAUUGACAAGUCAUGACAACUAACACUAAAACGAAUUAACCUUGCUAAAAGACCAGAAACUCCAGGAUCUUGAGAGGGUUUGUUUCUCAAAAAAAUGUGGUUAAAAUUUGCGGUGAUUGAGUUCGUUUCAGUUUUUUCCUGCGGGAAUUCCAAAUAAGUAGCUGGAUAAUCUAGAACAUUUUUUUUUUUUUACCUAAGGCCGAUUUUGGAGAUUUAAUACUAGCAUUGGAGGCACUUAUGAGUAUAACAAUGCCCUGUUCCAUAACACAUUCAAGUGUUCUUGUGCCAGUAGGGAGGGAGGGAUUAGUAUGUGGCAUGGAUGCUAGGAGGAGGAACAGCAAGGACAUAAAAAAAGCAGAGCAAGAAUUCACGGCGACCUCAGGCCUGCGUGUGCGUGUGUGUGUGUGUAGUGUGUCCUGGUCGCCUCCAUAUAUAUAACACGUGUGUGUUGCUGUGAGUUGUUCGUGCAAUAAAAACUGACUGCAGUCAGCCUUGUUUGUUGUUGUUGUUGUUGUUUGUUAAACCAAACUCCAAUGAUGUAAUGGACUACUUACUGGGCCCUUUGACUGUGACCUUCAGGUCUCCACUCCCUGCGUUGCGUGUGUCCACCUUGAAGUCGGCCGUCUGCUUGACACGAACCCCUCGAGGUUGUAGCCCACGGCCUGUGGCGCGGCAGGCAUUUGGAUUGGAGGCUACACCACAAAUCACACACACACACACACACACACACACACAUCAGUGAAAUGCUUCUGAGCCUUCUUUUCUGACAGUUUCUAAGGUCAGUAAGUAACAGUAAGCGAGUAAUUGAUCGGAUGUGAGCCAUUAAUUGAACUACAGAGUGAUACUAGGGCAACAUUUAAGAGCCAGGCAUAACAGUUCAAUAAAUCCAUUAUUUUGCUUUCACAAGAGACCGUCAACAUUUCUAAAUAGUGCUAGACUAAAGUGUAUCACUGGUGUAUUGGGAAAGCUUUCAAAUUCCAACCUAUAUUUCCAAUAUUCCUGGUAGCAGAGUGAGAUUCUGCUCGCAUUGGCUACCUUUAGUAAGGAGGAACUGAUUGCAUUGUGUAAAUAUUGAAUGUGAGAAUUGGACGGCAAACAUUGUAAUCUUGAUUCUGUGAGAUUUGUAAAGUGUGUAUAGGCAUUUAGGUUUAUUUUUGCACUACUUAUACAGAUACAAAUACACCGCAUAAAAUUACAAUUGACAAAAAAAAAAAAAAAAAAACUUUUUAGUUCAGAAAAUCAAUUAUAGCACUGUGCUGAGGAAGGAUUGCUUUAGUGGAGCGCUGUGUGUCGGAAAAGCUGCCUCACAGAGUUGGAAUUUGGUGUUUUACAAGCCCUCUGUUCGAGUGCCAGCCCUCCUGUCCUGUCCUGUCCCGUCCUCUCGUGUGCU
ensembl:lncRNA